CGUUUCUUUUUGCUUCCGCCGCGCCGCCGCCUCGCCCCUCGUUGAUUCCGCCGCGCCUACGCAUCGCCGCGCCGCCUUGUCCGCCGGCAUCGAUUCCGUGGGGCGGAGCAAGCAGGAGCGGAGCAAGCAGGGGUGGAGGAAGCGUUGCCGCGAGGGAGGGAUUCCGCGCGUUGCCCCUCGCCGCAUUUUGCUUCAUUCGCGGGUCCGCGCUCGCCGAGGCUUCGCCGGCGUGGUAAGUCUUGCGCUCCCAUCCCCCUCACCCCCGAUCCUCCACCACACAUGCGCUUAAAAUUAAUUCGCCUUCCACUGCUCCAAUGCCCCCUCACCUCGACCCUCAACCACAUUUGGGCUCACAAUCACAUUUGCGGAAGCGGAAGCGGCAAGCGGGGCGCAGAGGCUGCAGCGGCGGCGAGCAGCAUAGCGUGGCUGCGGCGGCAUUGAGCGGCGUGGUGCGGAGGCUGCUCGUCGGCGUCCUCGAGCGGCCGGGGGUGCGGCACCGGUGAAGGAGUGCGGCGGGGCGAGCGGCCGCCGUGGUCUCCACACACCCGCCUGGGCCCUUCGCGCACCGAGCGGGUUUCCAGAUGCCGGCGUUCUCCCCCAUCCUUUUGAAUUUGACCCUUGCACCUCGAUCUGUGGGAAUGCUGCCUGAAAGCAUCCCUACUCUGCGCCGUCCGUCCCCUGCAUGGUUCUGACGAGCAGCAGGUUAAAGAAGCGUCCUGAUCCUUCACGUGGUACUCCGGUUUUCUUGGGGUAUAUUGGAAAUGAAGACACGUUGAUCCCAUCAAGCUAGUCGUUAAGUAAGCAACGACGCUAACAAAUUGAGGUGAGAACAACAUGAGUAAUGUUUAAUACUCAAAAUCACCCCAUUUUUAUUGGUGAUUACUGAAUAUUUUUUAUGCUCUAAACAGUGCUCAAUGUUAGGUAGUUAGGCUAGUAGCUUUUGUUAGGAUUUAGUAUCAGUAAUUUUUUAGGUUUCGUAGGUAGCCCAGUAUUUUUUUUAUUACUGAUGCUUGAUGAUAAAGAACUAAACCUCAAUUCUGUUGGAUAUGGGGUAUGGUCACCCUACCGCCCUCGCUUACGGUAUGUGUUCAGUAAUCCAGUAAUAUUUACAAAUAUCAGUAAUCUCUGAAUUCCCUAGAAUUUCUUGCUUAUUUUUCAGUAAUUCUUUGUAAACCAGUAAUGCUAUGUAGCACUCUAGUUAUUCUCAGUAAAGCAGUAACCCGAUAAUUCAGUAUCCUGCGGGUCUUGCUCCGUUUUUGUCAAUGAUCUUUUCAAAGUUUUACUAGUGGCAGGUUCAUGUGGCAUGACACCCUUUUCCAACUCUAUCACCUCAUGCACAUGAUAGUGAUAGUACUGGACUUCACAAGGGAGGGGGUUCCAAGUGAAGACUAAGAGGCCUCAAUUGUAUUUUUAAGAUUUUUUUUGAAGGCGGCAUGAUACAGUUAAUUGUGACUAAUAUUUGUACAUAUGUGUAGCCUGGACAAUACAUGUAUAUGUUUGGAUUCAGUAAUCCAUAGAAGCCUUUUUAUUUCUGCAGUAUGCACUUCUCCAUUAUUUCUCUGGUGUUGCUGGUGAAUCAUUAUUUUCUAGUAACACCCCUGUACAUGCUUGGAUUCAGUAAUAGAGAGAUCCAGUUAUUCAGUA